rnacentral:rRNA from 1 species
AGUGAACGCUGGCGGUAGGCCUAACACAUGCAAGUCGAACGGCAGCACAGUAAGAGCUUGCUCUUACGGGUGGCGAGUGGCGGACGGGUGAGGAAUACAUCGGAAUCUACUUUUUCGUGGGGGAUAACGUAGGGAAACUUACGAUAAUACCGCAUACGACCUACGGGAGAAAUCAGGGGAUCUUCGGACCUUGCGCGAUUGAAUGAGCCGAUGUCGGAUUAGCUAGUUGGCGGGGUAAAGGCACACCAAGGCGACGAUACGUAGCUGGUCUGAGAGGAUGAUCAGCCACACUGGAACUGAGACACGGUCCAGACUCCUACGGGAGGCAGCAGUGGGGAAUAUUGGGCAAUGGGCGCAAGCCUGAUCCAGCCAUACCGCGUGGGUGAAGAAGGCCUUCGGGUUGUAAAGCCCUUUUGUUGGGAAAGAAAAGCAGCAGGUUAAUCCCCCGCUGUUCUGACGGUACCCAAAGAAUAAGCAACGGCUAACUUCGUG